ACUGAGAAAAUAGUUUAAGAGAAAACUGUCAAAAUAUCCUUAUUUUGACAAAGGAAGACGGAGAUGCUUGGAAAAUUUACUUUUGCUUCCCAGGCAUACACCGUUAGUUUGUGCUUCAGUAACCUGGUUCUGCCUGGUUCUAAAGAUAGCUCUGUGAUCAUCCAAGAGCACAACUGAGUGACUCUUAACCCCUCCUAUUUCAUAUCAUCCCAAGAGAUGUGAAUGCUAGCACAAUGGCAGAUUUUAAGUUUCUGUUCUGUUUUGUUUUAGUGGCUCUGCGUUCAGAUAAUCUUAAGUGCUGGAUUUAAAUCUUUGGCUGUAGAGGAUGGUUCAAGAAGAGAUGCAUAUUCCCAUGCAUGGAUUCUCCAUUCUUUUUCUUAAAAAGGACCUUGCAUUUUCUCCACUAUUAUUUCAAAAGAAAUUUCUUUUAACUAUGGCUUAAAAACAGGAAUGCAGUUUGGUUAGGGGAGUGACCAUGUUGUUACCAUGCAGAGAUAAUAGACAAAUGAAAAAGAGUCCAAGUGGAAAGGGCCCGAAGGGUUUGGUGCUGACCUCACUCUCAUGGUGCCAGAAGAAAUGAUUAACUUUGGAGGGUCAGUGUCUGGAUUAACAGUUGCUUCAAUAAACCUGGGUAAUGCACAACCAGAGUUCUCAGCAGCUCACAAAAGAAGAAAUGGUUUAUCUCAUGCACCUGUGGGGCCUAGAAGGGCUGGUUAACCUAAAUUGGGCUCAGCUGGGGCAGCUCUUCCCCACACAUCCCUCAUCUCCCUCUGAUGAACUGAAUACUUAAGGCAAGUCUUCCUCACGGUAACAGCAGAGGAUUAAGCAAGAGACUUGAAAGUUGCAAGGUGUCUUGAGGCGCCACAGACCCAGAGCGGAUACACUAUCAUUUCUGCUAUAUUCUGUUUGCCCAAACAAGUCUCGUGAUGGUGGUGGUGGUUUAGUCGGUCAGUCGUGUCCAACUCUUGUGACCCCAUGGACUGUAGCCUGCCAGGCUUCUCUGUCCGUGGGGUUCUCCAGGCAAGACUACUGGAGUGGGUUGCCACCUCAUGGCCAAGCCCAAAGUCAGAAGAAAGAAAACAUACUGUAUCCUUUUAGUAAAGGAGGAGCUACAACGUCACGUGGCAAAAGGCACCUAUAAAAGGAAAGGUGAAGCACGGUGGGCCCAGAUGCCAGUUGUUGCAGCAUCGCAGAGUAAUCUCUGCUUGAGGAGAGAAGACUGAAGACUUGUUUGACUCCAAACCAGGAAGCUGAAGGAUUUAUGAACCAGGUACCAAAGAUACAAUGGGAUACAGCAGACAGACAUCCCUGCAAUCACGCAGCCUCCAGUCUACUGGGCUGAUAUAGACAAUAAGCCAACAAGGAAGUGAUCUCUUUCAAAGAAAGUCCCAUUGGGAAAAGGCCUAAAGGAGAUGAUAGAGGAGGCCACGGAGAUAUAAGUGGAAGAUCUGGAAACUAGUGCAGCUCUUUUGUGAUACUGGUUUUCUUUGUACCACUAUUCUCUAUUACCCAUUGGUUGGAUAUAGCACAAAUAGAACAGUCUCAAGGCUUCAGUAAAAUUUAUUUUACACUUAAAACAAUAAACUAGGCACAAGAUUGGAGGCUUAUAUCUUCCCUGUAUCAAAAUUGGAAAACAGUUGUAGUUCUAGUAACUAAAUUUUCCUGUUAUAAUCUUGUGGCUUCAAUAGGGUGGUUUUAUGAAAAAUACUACUGGAUUAGAGAGUCGGGAAACCAGGGUUCUGAUUAUGGCUACACUUCUAAUAGAUAUGACAGAGUACAACCCAUAUUCUGAUGUUCCGAUAUUCUGGUUCUGUUUAUUUUUUUACAUGUUAAGGAAUAUCAAGGUGUAUCAUACUGAAAAUUCUAGUUCUUGAGUAAUUAAGAUUCUGGAAUUAGACCAAUUCAAAUCAUUACUCCACUAUAGAGAAUAGUAAUGCAUCUCAUGACCACUCCCUUCCCACCUCAUAAAUGUACUAUCCUAAUACUUUGAUGCUUAAUCACUCAGUCAUGCCUGACUCUUUGCCACCUUUGGACUAUAGUGUUCCAGGGUCCUCUGUCCAUGGAAUUUUCAGGCAAGAAUACUGGUGUGGGUUGCCAUUUCCUUCUCCAGGGAAUCCUCCCAACCCAGGGAUUGAACUUGAGUCUCCUGCAUUGCAGGUAGAUUCUUUACCCACUGAGCCAUCAGGGAAGCCCAUGAAACAGUUAAAGAACACCCUAGAGAAGCAGUGUGCCAUGUAGUGUAAAGCAGAUUCCCAAUAUGUCUCUUUUUUAUCAUUUAUUUUAUUUUAUUUUUUUAAGAAUCCAUCUUUUUUUUUUUAAACUUUACAAAUUGUGUUAGUUUUGCCAAAUAUCACUCCCAAGAUGAUGUUACUUUCACCAUAUUGGCAAGAACUACAGGAGGCAAUUAAGGACUCUAAUCAGUUGACUUCAGGGUUAAUAAAAGAUAAUUAUCCUGGGUGGGCCUGACAUAAUCAGGUAAGACAUUUAAAAUCAGGAUUAGAAUUUCUGAGAGUUCAGAGAAGCCUUGAAGAAGCAAGCCUCCAUGAGUUUUAUAACUGCAAAGAAUUUGAUUCAGCUAACAAUCUUAUGAGCUUAGAAUUUUUUUUUAAAGCCUAGUCAAGCCUACAGAUGACACCUAAAUCUUGGAUGACACCUGGAUUUCCAUCUUGGGUCCUCUACUAAGAGUUUUACAACUAAGCUAUACCCAGAUUUCUGACUCAGAAAACUCUAGGAUAAAAAAUGGGUUGUUGUAAACCAUUCAAUGUGUGGUGAUUUAUUAUGCAGUAAUAAGAAAUUAAUAUAUCAGUAGAAAUGGAGUUGCUACAAUAAUCCCAUCUAACUUUUAAAAGAUCAACAUACACUGAAGACCAAAAUCUCAUUUACUAUCAUAACAUGGGUAAUUUCAGUGAAUUUUCUUCUGAUGAAUUUCUAGACAUAGAUUUUUAUUUUCCCAAUACAAAGCAUAAAACACCAACCAAUGCGUCACCUGUGGCAUUUGUUCUACCUGCAGAGGACUGUGGGCCCAUAGACUUUAGCAGAUGGAAAGUUUUGUGUGGUCAGCUAGGCUACACUUCCCUGUCAAUACGCAGCUUUGAGGCUGCUGGUCAGUUAUGUCAUUGACACCUGUUUCCUACAGUUCUAUAACUCAAAGUGGAAACAAUUUUUUAACUUUUAGGACCAAAACUGAGGCACCAAACUAAAACUUAAUGACAUCCCACCUACAUCUCAGUUGUAACUUUCUUAAGCCUUUCAGUGC
ensembl:lncRNA